GCCCAGGUGGCGAAAUUGGUAGACGCGCUAGGUUCAGGUCCUAGUGGUGGCAACACCGUGGAGGUUCGAUUCCUCUCUUGGGCA
rfam:Candidatus Accumulibacter sp. SK-12 contig000037, whole genome shotgun sequence.